UACGAAGGGUGCAAGCGUUAAUCGGAAUUACUGGGCGUAAAGCGCGCGUAGGUGGCUUGAUAAGUUGGAUGUGAAAUCCCCGGGCUCAACCUGGGAACUGCGUCCAAAACUGUCUGGCUAGAGUGUGGUAGAGGGUAGUGGAAUUUCCAGUGUAGCGGUGAAAUGCGUAGAUAUUGGAAGGAACACCAGUGGCGAAGGCGACUACCUGGACUAACACUGACACUGAGGUGCGAAAGCGUGGGGAGCAAACAGG
rnacentral:rRNA from 1 species